rnacentral:rRNA from 1 species
AACGAACGCUGGCGGCAGGCUUAACACAUGCAAGUCGAACGCACCUUUCGGGGUGAGUGGCAGACGGGUGAGUAACGCGUGGGAAUCUACCCUUCUCUACGGGAUAGCUCCGGGAAACUGGAAUUAAUACCGUAUACGUCCUGAGGGAGAAAGAUUUAUCGGGGAAGGAUGAGCCCGCGUUGGAUUAGCUAGUUGGUGGGGUAAAGGCCUACCAAGGCGACGAUCCAUAGCUGGUCUAAGAGGAUGAUCAGCCACAUUGGGACUGAGACACGGCCCAAACUCCUACGGGAGGCAGCAGUGGGGAAUAUUGGACAAUGGGCGCAAGCCUGAUCCAGCCAUGCCGCGUGAGUGAUGAAGGCCCUAGGGUUGUAAAGCUCUUUCAGUGGGGACGAUAAUGACGGUUCCCACAGAAGAAGCCCCGGCUAACUUCGUG